GAUAACAAAAAUGCAAACUACAGAAUACUAAAAAUGCAUGUAAUUUAAUAAUAUAAUAAAUAACAUAUAUCAGCAUAAAUAAGAACAUAUAAUUUAACACUCUUGUGUAUACCAAGAAUUUUUCUACUUACUUUUUAAAAAUUAUCUGUUUUUCAAUAAAAUGUCAGUUCUGUUAGCAUGGGUUGAGAUGGUUUUGAUCUGUGUUGUCCCAACACAUGAACAAAUCUGGUUUAAUGGUUACAUAUUCAUUCUGGACCUUCCUUGCUAUACUAUAAUUGUGUCACAUCGUUAAUGUGAAUAUAUUAGUUUAUCCUCAUAAUUUAUAAUAAAUUAACAUUUAUUUUGGUUAGUAGGAACAUGGAAAGGCAAGAACUCUAACUGAACAGGCUGAGUAUAUAGAUUUAGGGAACUCAAAAGAGGCAAAAUGACUGCCAAAAACAAAUUUUACAUCUUUCCAAGUUAUUCUUAUAUCAGAAUUCUGUCAGAGCAAAUUAUAUUUUUAUUGAUAUCUUUCUGACCAUGAGGGUAAUUCCUAUUUAUUGAAGAACAACUUGGAAAACACAUACAAGGUAUGAAAAGCAUGAAAAGCAGUAAUGAAAUAAUAGCAUAAUACCAUUAACAUCAUAAUGUGGAUACAGUGUUUGAUAAAAUUAAGAUGUGGAUCUUUCCACAUAUUUAUCUGUAUUUAUACUUAUGUUUUAGGUGUGGUCAACAAUUUUGUGCUAUUUUCCUAUAAAUGAUUUCAAAUAAUGCAUCAUGAAUAUUUUAUGAAAAAUGAUUUUAUGUACCACGUUUCAUUAUAUCAUACAUUUUUUUCUGAUUGAUUUCUGACUUUUAUAGCAUUUUAAAUAUUUUAAAUGUUUUCUAAGUCUUUUCUACUUUUUCUCAGAUUCACUAAACAAUUCCAUUUUAGUGUUUUUUUUUUUCCAGUAUUUAAUUCCACCAGAAUUCCACCCCCAUGGUCCAACCACCUCCCACCAGGCCCCACCUCCAACACUGGGGAUUACAAUUCAACCUGAGAUUUGGGUGAGGACACACACAGAGCCAAACCUUAUAAUAAUGCCCUGGCCUCUCCCAAAUCUCAUGUCCUUCUCACAUUGCAAAAUACAAUCCUAACAGUCCCUCAAAGCUUUAACUCACUCAUUGAAGGAUUAAUUCAAAAGUCCAAGUCCAAAAUCUCAUCUGAGAUAAGGCUAAUCCCUUCUGUCUGUGGGCCUGUAAAAAAGAAAAACAAACAAACAAAAAACAGUUAAUUACUUCUAAGACACAAUGUAGUUAAAUAAUUGGGAGAAAUCAGCCAAUAGAAAGGGGCUACAGGUCCUGUGUAAGUCUGAAACCCAGCAGGGAAGUCAUUAAAUCUUCUUAAAGCUCCAAAAUGAUCUCCUUCGAUUUCAUGUCCCACAUCCAGGGUACACUGGCACAAGGAGUGGGCUCCCAAAGCCUUGGGCAGCUCCAAUCCUGUCACUUUGCAGGGUUCAACCUUCAAUGGGCUGGCAUUGAGUUCCUAUGCUUUUUCCAGGCCCAAUUACAAGCUGUCAGUGGAUCUACCCUUCUGGGGUCUAGAGGAUGGUGGCCCUCUUCUCAUAGCUCCACUAGGCAGUGCUCCAGUGUGGACUCAGCAUGGGGGCUCCAACCCCACAUUUCCCCUCUGCACUGCCCUAGUGAAGGUUCUCCAUGAGGGCAUCACCUCGGCAGCAGGCCUCUGCCUGGACAUCCUUGCUUUUUCAUACAUCCUCUAAAAUCUAGGCUGAGGCUCCCAAGUCUCAACUCUUUACUGUGUACCACAGGCUUAACACCAGGUGGAAGCCACCAAGGCUCAUGGUUGGCACCCUCUGAACUAGUGGCUGAAGCUGUAUCAGGGACACUUUGGGCUGAGGCUGGCGCUUGAGCACCCAGGAUAUGGGGAGCAGUGUUCCGAGGCUACACGGGGCAGUGGGGCCCUGGGUGUGCCCCAUGAAAGCAUUUUCCCCUCCAAGGCUUAUUGCCCUGUGAUGAGAGGAAGGGCUACUUGCAGAGGUCUCUGAAAUGCCUCAGUGACUUCCCCAUUGUCCUGGGUAUUAACAUUCAGCUCUUUGUUACUUAUGCAGAUUUCCGCAGCUGGCUCCAAUGCCUCACAAGAAAAUGAGUUUUUAUUUUCUACCAUGUGGCCAGGCUGCAAAUUUUCAAAAGUUUUACACUCUGCUUUCCUUUUAAGUGCCAGUUUUACAUCAUUUUUUUUGUUGUUGUUGACAUAAUUGAACAUAGGCUAUUAGAAGGAACCAGGCCCCAUCUUGAAUGCCAUGCUGCUUAGAAAUUUCUUCUACCAGAAACCCUAAAUCAUCACUCUCAAGUUCAAAAGUUCCACUGAUCCCUAGGGCAGGGGCACAAUGCCACCAGUUUCUUGGCUAAUCCAUAACAAAGGUGACUUUUAAUCCACUUCCCAACAAGUUCCUCAUUUCCAUCUGAGACCUCCUCAGCCUGGCCUUUAGUGUCCAUAUCACUAUCAGCAAUUUAAUGACUGCCAUUUAACAAUUCUUUAGGAAAUUUCAACUUUUCCUUCAUCUUCCUGUCUCCCUCCGAGCCUUCCAAACUGUGUCAACUUUUGCCCGUUACCCAAUUCAAAAGCUGUUGCCACAUUUUUAGGUAUCUUUAUUUGGCUCAUGGUUCUUUAGGCUGUACAGGAAGCAUGGCUGGGAGGCCUCAGGAAACUUUCAACCAUGGCAGAUUCAAAAGAGGAGCUAACACCUCACAUGGCUAGAACAGGAGGAAAACAGAGGUUGGGUAGUUGCUACACACUUUUUUUUUUUUUUUUUUUUUUUUUGAGACGGAGUCUCACUCUGUCGCCAGGCUGGAGUGCAGUGGUGCGAUCUCGGCUCACUGCAACCUCCACCUCCCAGGCUCAAGUGGUUCUCCUGCCUCAGGCUCCUGAGUAGCUAGGACUACAGGCGCACACCACCACACCCAGCUAAUAUUUUUGUUAUUUUUAGUAGAGAGGGGGUUUCAAGAUGUUGGUCAGGAUGGUCUCGAUGUUCUGACCUCAUGAUCUGCCUGCCUUGGCCUCUCAAAGUGUUGGGAUUACAGGCGUGAGCCACUGCACCCGGCUGUUACACAGUUUUUAACAAGCAGACCUCGUGAGAACUCACUAUCAUGAGAACAGCACCAAAGGGAUGGUGCCAGACCAUUCAUGAGAAUUUCACCCCCAUGAUCCAAACAACUCCCACAAGGAGCCACUUCAAACAUUAGUCGAUUACAAGCAAAUGAGGAAAUUUACCACAGAGAUAGGAACUGUAAAUUUCUUAGAAAUUUACAAUUAGAAAAAAGCAAAACAAACUAUUUUGAGAGAUAAAUAUUUCAUUUGAUGGGCUCACAAUUAUCUCUAUAAUAAACACAAAAAUGACAAGAUAAUUUUUUUGGACAAAGGACAUUUAGAUUCUUCACCCCAUUAUAAAUAUAACAAUGUUAACACAUUUCCUCAGGCAGAUAAAAUACCAGGCAGAAACAUGAAUCACCACAUAAAAAUUCGAAACCCAGAAAAUGGUAAAGAUGAAGAUAUGGAUGUGAAAGGGAAAUAUCUCAGUCCCAAAAUCGCUAAGUUAAAGGGAAAAUUCAAGCUGCCUCCCAUUUUAUUCAGAGUCAUCCCUCUGCUCACAGAGAUAAAUGUUUAUCUGAUUGCCUUCUUUGGAAACCUUCAUCAGUAAACUCAAAAGAAUGCAACCAUUUCUCUCUCAUCUACCUGUGACCUGGAAGCCUCCUCCCUACUUUGAAUUGUCCCACCUUUUUGGACCGGACCUAACCAACAUUCAUUUUACAUAUUUUGACUGAUGUCUCAUGUCUCCCUAAAAUAUUUAAAACCAAACUGUGCUCUGACCACCUUGGGCACACGCCCUCAGGACCUCCUGAGGCUGGGUAAUGGGUGUGCAUCCUCAACCUUGGAAAAAUUAACUUCUGAAAUUAACUGAGACCUGUCUCAAAUGUUCAGGGUUCAUAAACUAGUAAAAUAUUCUUUGAAGAUAGAUAGACUGUGAUGAAUUAAAUAUGAACACUGAAAACUCCAGAGCAACCGCUAUUCUUUUAAAGUGACCAACUAAUAAGCCAAGAGUGCAGAAAAUAUAACUGAAUGAUAAAAAUACUAAAUCUACCAUCAGGCAGAAAAACAGGAAAAUUAGGAAUUACAAAAGGAUGAAGUACAGAAAACAACUAGAAAGCCAGUAGAUUUAAACGCAUGUACAUAAAUAAUUAUAAUAAAUGAUAUAAAUGCUUCAAUUAAGAGAGACACUGUCAAAUUAUGUAAAAAUAAGAAACAGCUGUACACUUUCUAAAACGAAACCAUUUUAAAUAUGAAGACCUACGUGAAAGUUGGGUAAAAGGAUGGAAAAUAUAUUAAUGCAAACAGUAAAUAUUAAAGCUAAAAAAUCCUAGCACUAUUAAUUGUUAAUCACACAGCGAGAGAGAGAGACUGAGCCCAAAUAAAUGUACUAUAAAGAACCAUGGAACUAAGAAAAAUUAAAUAGCAUUUCUUGUCUUCCAGCCCAUUAUCUGUCUUGUCUGUCUCUCGUAUUAAUUUCUAUGGGUUCUUCCCACUGCAUAGCCUGAAGAAGAAAUUAAAUUUCUGCUCUCUCCAACCUGGUACUGUCUGACUCUUCUCUAGUAGUUUGGAUCCAGGUGGUUGUAUUCUGUGGUUUUUCCAUUGGAAUUAGGGUCUGUGCAGCACAGCUGGAGUUUUAGGACCAUAGAGAGCUUUGGUGAGUGGUUGGCCCUGCCUACUUAACUGUAAUUUUAAAAGUUUUUGGGGUUUUUUUGUUUGUUUGUUGUUUUUUUUUUGAGACAGGGUCUCACUCUGUAACCCGGGCUGGAGUAUAUUGGCACUAUCUCCGCUCACUGCAACCUCUGCCUCCCAGGUUCAAGUGAUCCUCCUGAGUAGCUGUGAUUACAGGCGCGAGCCACCACACCCCGCUAAGUUUGUAUUAUUAGUAGAGAUGGUGUUUGACCAUGUUGGCCAGGGUGGUCUCAAACUCCUGGCCUUAAGUGAUAUGCACACCUGGACCACCCAAAGUACUGGGAUUACAGGCAUGAGCCACCAUGCCCGGCCGACUCUGAAGAUUUUUUUUUUUUUUUUUUAGAUGGAUUUUCACUUUUGUUGCCCAGGCUGGAGCACAACGGCACAACCUCGGCUCACUGCAACCUCUGUCUCCUGGGUUCAAAUGAUUCUCCUGCCUCAGCAUCCAGAUUAGCUGGGGUUACAGUCACCCACCACCACACCCGGCUGAUUUUUUGUAUUUGUAGUUGAGAUGGAGUUUCACCACGUUGUCCAGGCUGGUCUCAAACUCCUGACCUCAGAUGAUCUACCAGCCUUGGCCUACCAAAGUGCUGGGAUAACAGGCAUGAGCCACUGUGCCUGGCCUGAUUUUGAGGAUUUUUAAUGAGACAAGCAAAUUAACGUGAAAACUAAUGGGAUAAUUCAGACAAGGAUUACUCGCCUUUGGGGAAGAGAUGAAGUGAAAAGCUCUAUUCUUGAUCAGUCUAAAAAUCUGCGUGUUAAUUAGCCAUUCGAGGUGGUGUGUGCCUUUAACCUAAGCUACUCGGGAGGCUGAGGCAGGAGAAGUGCUUGAACCCAGGAAGCGGAGGUUGCAGUGAGCUGAGAUCACGCCAAUGCAUGCCAGACUGGGUGACAGAGCCAGACUUCAUCUGAAAACAAAAACAAAACAAAAAUCUGCAUGUCAAAAUCUCACUCGGGGCAGGAUGAAAAGGGGAGUGCUGGGGGUUACAAGUUGCAUUGUCCCUUGGCAUAAAUCUUGGUGGCCAUGCGAAGGCAUACACCUAUAGGGACUUGAAUAAAAACAGCAUGAAAAGGGAGCAUUUGGUCUGGGAUGCCACAUUCAGCCAUUCAGCGUACAGUGCCUUUCACAGGGAGGUGUCAUUUAUGUGAACUAAAAUAUAAAUUUCACCUUUCUGAGAAGGGUAAUGUACAGCAUGCACUGCAUAUGUGGUGUCCCUGAGGAUGGGGGUGUAGCUGCGAGCAUGGUGAUGCCUGUUUUGCAUCCUGUGCACCCACUCCUCAGUGCUGGGCUACACUUCAAGGAACUUUUUGUGCCUUCUAGACGACUGUACAUAGGAAUUGUGGACUCCUGAGAAAACGCAUGCACUUAGGUUCCUUAAGAAUUUAUUUUUGCCAAAUGAGGCUUGGCUCAAAUAGGAAAUACAUUGGAUAGAGGCCACAGCCAUUCUUCGUCAGCUGGAAUGCUUUACUCCAGAUUCCUAAAUUCUCUAAACUUUUUUCACUUAUCAACUAGUCAUCAUUUGCAAGGAUUCUCCUUUAGCGCUCCCAAAAGACUCUCCUGCCUCUCAGGUCCCUUCAUUGCUGAUCCACAGCGUCCAUUUUCUGUCAAAGACUAAAACAUUUUCUCAUUGACUUUUAAAAUACCUUUCAAAGCCUUAAGUCACCAAUUUAUGAAGGAUUAAGCAUAGUCCACCCAAGAAUAUUUCACUCUUUUUCAUUAUCUUUUUUCCCCGUUUUUUAAGAAUAUGUAUGAACAAUGGAAGGGUAUGAUGGAAUUGAUACUCAAGAGAUAUCUCCUAGUCUUCUCUCCCCAUUUUCUUUGUGUGUGUGUGUGUGUGACAGAGUCUUGCUCUUUCGCCCAGGCUGGAGUGCAGCGGUGUGAUCUGGGCUCACUGCAACCUCUAUCUAUCUCCCAGGUUCAAGGGAUUCUCCUUCCUCAGCCUCCCGAGUAGUUGGGAUUACAGGUGUGCCCCAACACACCUGGCUACUUUUUGUAUUUUUAGUAGAGAUGGGGUUUCACCAUGUUGAUGAGGCUGGUCUCGAACUGCUGACCUCCUGAUCCACCCACCUAAGCCUCCCAAAUGGCUGAGAUCACAGGCGUGAGCCACCACGCCUGGUCCCAUUUUCUUGUGUUGACACUUCUUAACUCUUAACCUAAUGGAGAGAGAUAGAGGGAAAUACACACACACACAAACACACAAAAAAAGAGAGAGAGGGCAAAAGAGUAAGACAAGUGCCGGAUGGUGUGAGGCCAUCUGCAGCAUGAAACUAGUAUGCAUUUUUGAGAAGUAGGUUAUAAAUAAGCUACUUAUAUUGCAGAAAUGUGUUAAAAAUGUUAUAAAUAGUAAGUUAUUAAUACAAAUUUGAUUCCAAUGGAAAUAGAGGUUAUAGCAUAUACAUCAAAAGGGAGAAAGUAUAAAAAACAAUUACUAUAUGGUUACAGGCAGGAUUUUAGUUUGUUUUGUUACGUUCAGAAUGGAUGAAUAUGUUUAAGACCAUUAAUGUCUGGAAGUAAAAAAACAAUCAGUUGAAGUAUCUUUUUCAAUAUUAAAACAAUUGCUCUAAUAGAUUACAUAGCAUCUUUUUCAUUGGGGGCGGGGGAACAUUCUGAACAGUAAAAAAAUUCUGUCAGUUGGAAAUGCUGUAUGUACAUAGAAAUUUCCAAAGUGAUAACACUUUUUAGUAUAUAAUUUCUAAAACUGUAUUAUAGUGAAUGCAUGUGUACUUAUAUAAUUUUAAGUCAUAUCCUAAAACGAAAGAAGAGAAUUUAGUUAGUAUCAUAUCUCUUUUAUGAUUUCUCAAAAGAGUACUCUAUUCACUGUUAUUUGUGGUUUUUCUUUCAGUGAAAUACUUUUUUGUAUCAUUCAUCCGUGUUUCUACCAAUUUAUUAAGGUUUAACUGACAUAACUUUUGUAUAUAUUUAAGGUGUACAACAUGAUGUUUGGAUAUAUGUAUAUAUUAUACAAUGAUUAAAUCCACCUAAUUAAAACAUAAAAUAAUAUAAACAUAACAUAUUUAGGUGAAACUCU
rnacentral:lncRNA from 1 species